rnacentral:rRNA from 1 species
GAUGAACGCUGGCGGCGUGCCUAACACAUGCAAGUCGAGCGAUUCUCUUCGGAGAAGAGCGGCGGACGGGUGAGUAACGCGUGGGUAACCUGCCCUGUACACACGGAUAACAUACCGAAAGGUAUGCUAAUACGAGAUAAUAUGCUUUUAUCGCAUGGUAGAAGUAUCAAAGCUCCGGCGGUACAGGAUGGACCCGCGUCUGAUUAGCUAGUUGGUGAGGUAACGGCUCACCAAGGCGACGAUCAGUAGCCGACCUGAGAGGGUGAUCGGCCACAUUGGAACUGAGACACGGUCCAAACUCCUACGGGAGGCAG